rnacentral:misc_RNA from 1 species
AACGCACCUUGCGCCCUUUGGCCAUUCCGAAGGGCAUGCCUGUUUGAGUAUCAUGAACACCUCAACUCUUCAUGGUUUUCCGUGAUGAGCUUGGACUUUGGGGGUUUUGCUGGCCUGUGGUCGGCUCCUCUAAAAUGAAUCAGCUUGCCAGUGUUUGGUGGGCAUCACAGGUGUGAUAACUAUCUACGCUUGUGGUUUUCCACCAGGGUAACCUUCAGCAGUGGAGGUUCGCUGGAGCUCAUAGAUGUCUCUCCUCAGUGAGGACGGCCCUUUGAAUGUUUGAUCUCAAAUCAGGUAGGACUACCCGCUGAACUUAA